AGAGAACUCAAAGAUCAUCUAGUUCCAAGUCCACAUUUGAAAGCAAAACCUGAUCAAGAUGAUAUCUGUUCACUCAAUUAAUGGCUUCUGUUCAGAAAUACUCAUUCAGCACAUUGCUUCACUGACAGCAAGUGGUGAUGGCUUUAAUUGGAUACAAAUCAGCUGUAUACAUUACACAUGGAAUUGAAUUGUUAUACUUCUGUAUUUUGUGCAGGUGAUUCUCACUUAAAUAAUGUAUCCACAAUAGUAGUAAUGGCAGUACAGAAGAAUCACUGGGAUUUACAGCUGUGAUUAUCAAGAGGGAAUCUCAGCGUUGGGUCCUCUAGAGACAUUUUCACCAAUGCAUACACCCACAUAUCUGACCACAGCCACGUAUGCCACUGUCACCACAUCACCACAUCACCCUGCCGCUGGACAAAUCGCUUCUCUGCUCUGUGCUUAUUACAAGACAAGGUGUGUCUUUACAGCAGCCAAACAGGAACUGAAAUACAUCCUCGUGUCUGGUGUUGACAUAAACCCAAGCUGCUGUAGAAUUCCAUGGGAAAUUAUGGUGAAAAAAGGAUGAGUUUUCCCUAAUUCUCAUGUCUGUCCCAGCCAUCAGCCCUGUUUCCAGGCCACCAGAGGGCUGUCCAAGCCCACUCUGGCUUCACCACCUCACCUCAUUUCUCUACACGUGCAAAAUCCUCUCAGCACCAAGCACUGCAAUUGGAAAUGCCAUAAAAAAAGCAAAGAGCUCCCCUCUGAAGCCCAGCUGCAUCCUUUAGCACCUCAGGCAUCCCAGCCAUUCGCUAGCACAGGCUCCAUGGUUUCCAUGCCCCCAGCCACCUGUUCUGGGGGAGUUCUGGACAGCAGCUUGGAAAAUUCUGAGAAAGAAGAAAUAAACGUAACCAAAUUCCAUAGAAUGACAGAAUGGCUUGGAUUGGAAGGGACCUCAAAGAUCAUCUAGAUGCAAAUCCCUGAUGCGGACAGGGUUACUGAAAUUAAGAUUUAUUUAUUUUUUUAACAAUUUAAGAAUUCCAAU
rnacentral:lncRNA from 1 species